rnacentral:rRNA from 1 species
UUGGUGGGGUAAUGGCCUACCAAGGCGAGGACGGGUAGCCGGCCUGAGAGGGCGACCGGCCACACUGGGACUGAGACACGGCCCAGACUCCUACGGGAGGCAGCAGUGGGGAAUAUUGCACAAUGGGCGGAAGCCUGAUGCAGCGACGCCGCGUGAGGGAUGACGGCCUUCGGGUUGUAAACCUCUUUCAGCAGGGACGAAGCACAAGUGACGGUACCUGCAGAAGAAGCGCCGGCCAACUACGUGCCAGCAGCCGCGGUAAGACGUAGGGCGCGAGCGUUGUCCGGAUUUAUUGGGCGUAAAGAGCUCGUAGGCGGCUUGUCGCGUCGAAUGUGAAAUCUCGGGGCUCAACUCCGAGCUUGCAUUCGAUACGGGCAGGCUAGAGUUCGGUAGGGGAGACUGGAAUUCCUGGUGUAGCGGUGAAAUGCGCAGAUAUCAGGAGGAACACCGGUGGCGAAGGCGGGUCUCUGGACCGAUACUGACGCUGAGGAGCGAAAGCGUGGGGAGCGAACAGGAUUAGAUACCCUGGUAGUCCACGCCGUAAACGGUGGGAACUAGGUGUUGGCGACAUUCCACGUCGUCGGUGCCGCAGCUAACGCAUUAAGUUCCCCGCCUGGGGAGUACGG